UCGAAGUUGGCGCCUACUUUUAUAAAGGCCAGAGUUCGGCGUAAAAUCGGAAACUGUAAUUACGAGCUGGAAGAUUUGAGCGGUAAUUUAAUAGGAGUCUACCACGCUAAGGAUAUACGCCAAUGAGUCCUCUUUAAGGGCAAGCGGAAUCAGCUUUGUUGGACAAGUCUAUUCCCCAAAGUCUGAUCUUGCCAGGGGGGUGUUGUAGUGGCGCUUGCCCUACUGGAUUGUUUCUUCAUUCUUUUGUUUUUUUUUUUUGGAAUUAAAACCAAACUUAAAAAUACCUACUGUAACGUAUUUUGAAAUGCCACCUGGAUAUGAAGUUGUUAUAAGGCAACACUUUAUCCAUAAGCGCAUUCGUUUCUCGCUACUAUUUGUGUGCUACAUUUUUACUCAAAUACUGGAAUUAACUCGCUAGCAUUUGUAAUUGCCGAGGGUUCAAGCUGAUAAAGAUUAGAUAGAAUCGUCCAUUUUGUCAUCUAACCCUUAAGAGGAAGAAUAUAGUUCAUCCAAAAAUUUCUAAAAAUAACCUUGUUCACCUUCAGAAAGUCAUUAAAUCAGUUCAAGUUGCGGUUAUAAUUUUGGUUGUGUGACUUGGCCACAUAAUUUUAUGCAUUUGGAUGAUAGCCUUUGAAUCUCUUUAGCAAUUACCCUAUGGAAUAAAAUCCAUAGUCAAAGAGGAAGACUCGCAUUUGAUUACAACAAUUGUUUUGUGAAGGAAGAGAUCUUAUUGAACAAAAGCUUUUGUUCUCACAAAACACAUUUUUCGGCCUCACAUAUUCCCAAACCGCAACGCAGCGUCAGUGUGAUUUUUAACUUUUACUCCAACAGCGUCGAUUACAUCAAGACGGGCAAAUGCCCUGUGUCAAUCAAUAACCAGAAAUAUGGGAGAAAUGUGAAAUUUGAUGUAUUAUUACA